UCCCUGGGCAAUCUUUGCUCCGUGAUGUACACCAAGAUCUCAGAGAUAGAUCUGAUUUCCUUUUGCCACUGAACAUGAAGGAUAAGACAAGGCAAAGGUUUAUUCAGCUACAGUAGCAUUCAAUGCAAACACAGCUUGAAGUGUAAUGGCAGAGUAGUAGGUGGGUAGAUGUGCACUAAUAUUGACCUUCUUUCUUUACCACAGGAUUAUUCUGGGACUGUGUGGACCAGAUACGCACUUCAUGCAGAAAGGAGAUGACACUUUGAGAAUGGCAGCACUGGGUCUCUCAUUUCCUCUACAUUUCAUGUCACUGAGCCUAUCCUGCUGGAAAUUAUCCACACCACAUAGUUUUAUUCUGAGUCUAACUCCAUGGGCUGCUUUAACACUAAUAAUAAUUCUAAGAAGGGAAAGUAAUUAACUCCAGGAUAACAUGCUCCAUGUGUAGCAGUCAUAUCCACUUGUAACGAUGCAGAUUUGUAUAGUUUUGUUAUCAGAUUAUAUAGUAUUGGAUUACAUUUACAAUAACCACAACUUAAAAAAAUAAAUAAAUAAAAAUUAAAAAAAAAAAAAAAGAG
rnacentral:lncRNA from 1 species